CCUGGGGCUGUGACCCACAUCCUCAUUCCUGAGGGGCUCGAAAUGCCAGGGAGGUCGGUCUUCCACUUGCGGUUUCCACUUCCUUGAUGCUCUUCCUCUGGGCUUCCUAUGGGCCAGCCCUCCCUUCUCUUUCUGAUGUCAUCCAAUCAGACGGGCCAUCUGCAGCCACCAGCCACUCUGUGAAAAUGGCCAAGCAGCCCCGCCCCCCGCAUCCCCUGCAUCCCUCCCUACUUUACCCCCCACAUCCUAUCCCUAUAGGUGCCCUUGGCUCUGCUCCCUAGGAUGCCAGCCCUGUGAGGGCAGCCUUGGUCCCCAGUGCCUGCAGCAGAUGUGAGCACCUAGUCCAGAUGUGCAGGGCAGACUGCUGCCAGACAGGCAUUCAAGUGACAUUUCUUGAUGUUUCCAGAAGACUUCCCCCGCCCUCCCCACCUCUGGCCAGUGUUUCUACUGAGUAGUUGGAGCCACACUGCUCGUAUUAGCACCUAGUACCUCUCAUGAAGAUCAGCAAACCUCCAGGAUCACCAGCCCCUCGAGAGAGCAGGCCAGGUCCCUGUGAAGAGCCCCGGAUCUGACUGGCCCUGGAUCUGGCAGCCAUCACACGUGGGCCCAGGUGACAGCAGCAUGGCCUUCGAAGUUCUGAAGAAGCUGCGUUUGGAAUCCCAGAAGCUCUACGCAGUGAAUCUUGAAAGAGGGCUGCAUAGGGCCACCUGCAGGUGACAAGGGGCCCCACGCACCUGUCCCAGGAAGCUGCCGGAGGAUGCACGAAGAGUGGGCAGGGGGCCCGUGGAGGGGUGCACGGAAGCCAAGCAGGGCUCGCUGACACCGGGAGAGCUGGGGCAUGGGGUCCCCUUUCAGCACAGGGACAUGCACCCCCGGGUGGCCAGUGGAGGAAAUGGGGGGUGGAGGGCCCCGGAAAGGGGCAGAGCCCCCACACUCUUGUGUCAACUCCAUAAGUAGACGUUAGGAAAUUGCCACGGGCAGGCCGCAGAUGGGGAUCCUGCCGGGAUGGGAAGGAGGGGGAGGUGGGCUAUGUUUCCUUAAGACCGACUUUGCUCCGAUGCUAAGUCCGUCCUAAGAGAACUGGGAAGACGGCCUUCUGCCCGCACCCUGCCCCCAUCCGGGAGAGCGGUCGGUGCGUCUGAGGGGAGGCAGUGCUGACGGGACACUCAGGGAUGGGUGGGCUGUGCUGUCCAGACAUGGCCAGGUGGUGAGAAUGGGCCCUCCCGAGGCUGUCACAUCCGGUGGCCCUGGACCCUCGGGUCACUGCACCAUCGAUUCUUUCAUUAACUGCUUGAUUGAUUAAUCCCCUGGUCACUGAUGCAUUUGUGCCACCGACGUCCACUGGGGGCCUUCCACAUGUGAGACCCUUGCUGGGUGCCAGGAUGGAGCCAGGAUCGACACCGGACAGCCACAGGCUGGCCGGAAGGUGGCCUUGGGGGCGGAAGCUGGGAAGCGGGCCAGUGUCCCCAGCAGGGUGUCAGGUGGGUGAGGAAGCCCAGAGAGGCCUUGCGGCAACCGUGCUUUUUGCUCAGGCUCCGAGAGAUGCCCGUUGCUUCCCCUCCCCCGGGUGGCACGGGCGGGGACGCGUGCCAUGCCACCGCUGCCGGCGGGCCUGGGCCUAGCAGUGUCCUUGUUACUGGGAUGUUCUCACCCUCCUGACAGGAGGGCGGAUUGAGGGGCCUGCAGUCUGCCGGUCGGCCUGGGGGGCCCCGACUCCACACGCCGCUGGGACUGUGUGCCCCGAGGCACCUCGUCCUUGGCCGUGCCGCCCAGGACAUUUGCACAGCCGUCCCGCACAGGCUCUGUGUCUCUUUUCACGUGUCCCUCCCGCUCUGUGGAUCAGGCCAGGCUGGCUCCUCCCCACGCCCUGUCCUUGCACACAGAGUGAAGGGCACAGAGGUGACAAACUUGAGCCCCAGGCCGGCCCGAGGCCAUGCAGCAGGAGGGGACAGAGGAGGGACCAAAGCCAUUCUGGGUGACCAUUACCUGCCUGGCCCUGUGUCUACACCACUAGCCAGUGGGACAGUGAGGAGACCAGCCCAGCACAGGUAAUACCUAGUGCCCAGCUGCCCUGCCUUUGCAGGAGAACCCCUUGCUGGGCCCUCACCUUGCCAUGCCUGAGUAGGCCUGCUCCCACGACACUGCCUCCUGGAAGCCCUCCUGGCUCCCUUCCAAAGCAACACUUCUGUAUCACCCUGCUGACUGUCCUUGUGCUACUCUGGCUCUGACUCCCUGACUCACGGCCUUUCUGAUUUCCUGUCACCCUCCCGUGCCGGCACGUGUCCCCGGAGCCCAGCACAGGCCUGGCGCACGGUGGCGUCCGGGAGGCGUCGGCCAAGGAAUCGAGGAACACGCUUCCCUCCGCACAUCGUGGAAGGAGAUGCCUGCGUGUGGAGUCCCUGCCCUGUGGAAGUCUGUCCCUGGAGCCUCUCCUCCCCCCACAUCUGCCUGGGAGGCCCCUGGUGGCCCCUGCCGCAGGCCCCCAGGGCACGGGCUGCGCGCCUGUGUGCCAAAGUCCGCAGCUAGCCGCGUUCCCGGGAGAAACGUGCGUUUCUGUCCCCGCUGUCCGGCAGGGAAUGUUCGCGGCAGCUUUCUUCACUGUGGCCCUGCCACCUGAAGGGCGGGUACACAGGCGGCGGGUAUCCAGCCAGUGGAGAACCGUCUGAGAGAGCUUGCCCGUGCACGCGAGCCUCACCUGCCCGGGGAAGGGUUCCCAACACAAAAGAGAAGUCUGGGGCUCCGUGAGCCUGACCCAGCGUCGCCCCACGACCCUGGCGCUCCUCCCUGAGGGGGUGCCCAAGACAGGCGACAACCUGUGUCCGGCCACGAGUGCGCACAGCAGCACCGUUCCAGAGAUCGAACAACCCAACAUCCGCCAGCCAACGGACGGGUCCACCAAACGCGGUCUCUCCACCGGCAGAGUGUCACUCGGUCUCAAUAAGGAGCGAGGCAUGGACACUGCCGUGUGGACGAGCCUUAAAAACACAGUGCAGAGUGAGAGAGGCCGGGCCCGGGAGGACACACGUCAUAUGAUCCCAUUUGCAGGAAAAUCCACGGGGACAGAAAGCGGCCUCGUGGUUGCCAGAGACUGGGGAGACAGUGGGGUAAGGACUGACUGUUUCCAAGUCUCCUUUGGAAUGAUGGAAUGUUCCGGACUGAGAGGGGACAGCUGCACAACAGUGCCAAUGUACUCACUGCCACUAAGUCGUAUACUUUGACGUGGUUACGGUGGUGGAUCUCAUGUGGUGUGCGUUGUAUCACAAUACAAAUCAACCCCUCACAAAAAUAAAACAUUGGGAGUGGAAGAGCGUGAACUCUGCCUAGUUCCACCGACCAAGUUUCUGCAUGAGCUCUAAAAACAGCAUAUGGGUUCUCAGGGCAGGACCUUAAUUUUGCAAACUGUUUCCGAGUUGAACAACCCCCUGUGGUAGACUGGGAAUAUCAAAACGCCUAUUGGCAUGGAUUUGGGGAAAGGUUUUAACGUGUGAGAAGACAAGCCUUCCUCCCCUAAAGAAGAGAUCCACUGGCUUGUCCAUGACUUCCAACCUCACACUUUGGACACAUGCUACUCUCCUUGGCUUCCCGAGAGAAGGGCAAGUGACUCAUCCCAACCAUUCCCCCGCUUCAGGAAUCCUGACGGAAAAGAUCGGGAGUGUGGGCAUCUCUCGUGUUAGAGCACAGAGUCGUAACCUCAGGGGAUGGGCGACUCAUCUGAAUGAGCUUUUCAGAAUGCGGGUAACUGGGUCCCUCUGAAACCUGUGGGUAGAACUCCGAGAGAGGCUGGGUGCACCUGCGUGCCUACCUGUGCGGGUACACACGGCACCUGAGUCUGUGUGUGUUUUUAUUUGACUUCUUAGGUGCUUAAUGUCUCAUGUAUAUACAAGAAUGUAUACAUCAUGGUGUGCCUUUCAUAAUAAGGAAGCAGGAGCCCACGUGCCCACCUCCCAACCCAAGAAGUAGAGUUUAACCAGCACCUCCGAGCCCUAGAAACCUUCCUUAAUGGUGUCCUUCAAUGGAGAGACCAUCGCUCAGUCCCCUUCCACUGCCGCCUUGCUUGGCUCCUGCCGUUGAGUCUGGGUGUCUUUGGUUUAUGCUCUCCAGGGGUGGGGGUAGUGUUGCCUGGCUGUGUGGGAUGGGGCUUGGGUAGCAACAGGGGGUCCAGAUACACUGGGGACUUCCAGUGCCUUCUUGGUCCGUACACCAAGGAAACUGGCAAAUGUUAUAAAUCAAGGCUCCCCCACCCACUUAGGAAGACAGUUAUCAAACAUUCACCAACGCCUAACUGGGUAGUUGAUCUCUGACUUCUAGGACCUCAAGUUCAGUGGAAGCGGUAAAACCUACAAGCAUAAGAUAACUUAAGAAUGUUGACGAGAACCCCUCUGGGUAUAUCCCCUAAAGAACCGAGAUCGGGGUCUCGAAGAGACAUCUGCACACCCACGUUCACAGCAGCAUUAUUUACAACGGCCAAGAGAGGGGAGUAACACAGGUACCCAUUGACAGAUGAAUGGAUAAAUAAAAUGUAGUCCAUCCUACACUGGAGUAUGAUUCAGCCUUAAAAAGGAAGGAUGUUCUGACACCUGCUACAACAUGAAUGAACUUGAGGACAUUAUGCUCAGUGAAGUCAGCCCGUCACAAAAAAAGACAAACCCUGUAUGAUUCUACUCACAUGAGCGACGCAGAGUCAAGAUCAUGAAGACAGAACGCAGACUGGUGGUUGCCGGGGGCCAGGGGGGGGGGAAACGGGAAGCUGUUUAA